GUGCUUGCUUAGGCAGCACAUAUACAAAAACUGGAACGAUGCAGAGAUUAGCAUGGCCCCUGCGCAAGGAUGAAAUGCAAAUUCGUGAAGUGUUCCAUAUUUUU